AUCUUGCGCAAUGGGCGAAAGCCUGACGCAGCCAUGCCGCGUGAAUGAUGAAGGCCUUAGGAUUGUAAAAUUCUUUCACCGGGGACGAUAAUGACGGUACGCGGAGAAGAAUCCCCGGCUAACUUCGUGCUAGCAGCCGCGGUAAUACGAAGGGGGCUAGCGUUGCUCGGAAUUACUGGGCGUAAAGGGCGCGUAGGCGGCUCGUUACGGCAGGGGUGAAAUCCCGGGGCUCAACCUCGUAACUGCCCUUGAUACUGGCGAUCUUGAGUAUGAGAGAGGUAUGUGGAACUCCGAGUGUAGAGGUGAAAUUCGUAGAUAUUCGGAAGAACACCAGUGGCGAAGGCGACAUACUGGCUCAUUACUGACGCUGAGGCGCGAAAGCGUGGGGAGCAAACA
rnacentral:rRNA from 1 species